CCUUCGGGUUGUAAAGUACUUUCAGCAGUGAGGAAGGUGGGUAUGUUAAUAGCAUAUUCAUUUGACGUUAGCUGCAGAAGAAGCACCGGCUAACUCCGUGCCAGCAGCCGCGGUAAUACGGAGGGUGCGAGCGUUAAUCGGAAUUACUGGGCGUAAAGCGCAUGCAGGUGGUUUGUUAAGUCAGAUGUGAAAGCCCGGGGCUCAACCUCGGAAUUGCAUUUGAAACUGGCAAACUAGAGUACUGUAGAGGGGGUAGAAUUUCAGGUGUAGCGGUGAAAAUGCGUAGAGAUCUGAAGGAAUACCGGUGGCGAAGGCGGCCCCCUGGACAGAUACUGACACUCAGAUGCGAAAGCGUGGGGAGCAAACAGGAUUAGAUACCCUGGUAG
rnacentral:rRNA from 1 species